rnacentral:rRNA from 1 species
CAGUUCGGACUGCAGGCUGCAACUCGCCUGCACGAAGUUGGAAUUGCUAGUAAUCGUGGAUCAGCAUGCCACGGUGAAUACGUUCCCGGGUCUUGUACACACCGCCCGUCACACCAUGGGAGCCGGUAAUACCCGAAGUCAGUAGUCUAACCGCAAGGAGGACGCUGCCGAAGGUAGGAUUGAUGACUGGGGUGAAGUCGUAACAAGGUAAC